rnacentral:rRNA from 1 species
AUGCAUACUUUUAGGUCUCAGGCAAAUGGAAUUUUAGGUGCAAAUGGCUGUAAUCCUCCGGCAGUAUGGAGAAUACUAUGGAAACUAAAUAUUCCAUGCAAAAUUCAGAUCUUUUGCUGGAGGGUAUUGCACGGAAUUAUUCCACUGAAAUCCAUAUUAAUGAACAGACAUAUUGGUAGUGACGGAGCCUGUCCGACCUGCCAUCAAGGAGCAGAAGACCUACAUCAUUUUCUAUUCACAUGCACCCAUGCAAAGGAGAUGUGGCAGCGCUUGCGGCUAACUGAAGUAAUUAACCAGGCAACAGUAGUGGACAGAUCAGGGUCCGCGGUUUUGGAGUUUUUGCUGAACUUGUCCGAUAUCCCAAUGGUGCUCGAACCAACUCUGAACUUUAAGCAGGUUGUGGCAGUGGCUUGCUGGUGUUUAUGGUGGAUCAGGCGACGCAUUACGCAUAAUGAGACAGUCCCUCCGAUUAUCCGUUGGCCCAUAUCAGUGUUAGCGAUUGCAAGCAAUUAUCACAAAGCCUUCUCUAAGCCAAGUGGAACACAAGACAGAAAAUGGAGUAAACCUGAUCCAAAAUUUGUGAAAGUAAAUGUGGACGCAGCGUUCUAUGAGGAAGAGGGAAUGGGAGCGAUCUCAGCUAUUCUAAGAGAUGCAUAUGGUAAUUUUAUUGCUGCCAAAUGUAGGUUUGUCCCUUUUGCAGCUGACGUAGUUACAACCGAAGCGAUGGCCAUGAAAGAUGGACUUGAGCUAGCUAAUUCUCUCGGAUACAAUCGCCUUGAGGCGGAGUCUGAUUCUAUGCAGGUGAUCAACUUUUGUAUUGGACAAUCUAGAUGA